UGCUCCUGGCAGUGGGGACGGGUGGGCAGCGGGGCCGGGCAGCAAAGGGAAUCAUGGGAGAAGAAUAUCAUUUAGCUGGGUUGAGGUGAGAGAAGCUGGGAACGGAACAGGAACCUGAGUUUGGACACAGUCACAAGGUGCUGGGAACCAUGAAAAUUGUAGAGAGCCAAAUCCCCCCUCCCCACACUGUUCCUGCUGAGGGCUGAGGAGACUCUCCAUUUUCCUGACGAGACCCUCCGUUUCCCUUCAGAAUUUUUUCUUUUAAUAUUUUCCCUUUAGUCCUUUAAAAUGUUUUUUUCCAGAUUUAUUUUUAUUUUUUGUUUAUGGAUAUUUUACCCGCCUGUGCGUUCAUGCAGUGUGUGUGUGUGUGUGUGUGUGUGUGUGUGUGUGUGUGUGUGUAGAUGGUGCUUGCCACACAAGCAAGAGGACCUGAGUUUGGUACUCAGAACCCAUGUAAAGAGUGGAGCACAACAGUACUUGUGGCAGUGCGUGUGGCUGUGCGAUUACAUAACCCCCGUGCUGAGGAAGAUCUCUGGGUAUUGCUGGCCAACUUGGUGAGAAAGUGUCUUGAAAGUGUCUCAAACCCAGAAAGUUGGUCGUGCCUGAGGAAACAUGCAUGAGUGUGUGUGUGUGUGUGUGUGUUUGUGUGUGUGUGUGUGUGUGCGCGCGUGCGCGCGCACUCAUGCACACUCACAGAAGUAGAAUGUGGCAUGUGGUGUGCUUGAGGUACUUCCUGUUCUCCUGCCUCCUCCUCAGAAGCGCAAGCGCUGUGGACACAGGGUCCCCAGAGCCGUGUCUGCCUCCUGACGUGCAGGAAGUGAUCAGUAAGUGUUUCCUCAUGCGUGGACUUUUCCCCUCAGAGUAGCGGUGGCCAGGACUUGGCCAGUCGUCAAUGGCCAUCCUUCCGGUCUCUGACAGAGCAGCCACAUGCCCAGAGUGACCCAGCACAUCCACAUCGGGGACAGGUGGUGCCUCUGGGAUCUAGGCACCAUGUGACUAAGGGAGGCAUCCAGGAGCUGUGCAUGCCCAGGCCUUCCCUUAUGACACUGCUUGAAAUGAUACACCCUCUUAAGGUGUGAGUUUGAGGCCUCUCUGAGCAGACCCUGCCGCCCUCUGCCUCCCCCAGCCCCACCCCUUUGGUCCACUCGCAGGUUAGGGAUCAUUGCUGGGGUCCCUGGGACCUGCACGCAGCCUUGCCGCCCAGCAGCUCAGCUGGCUCCGCCCCACAGCAUCACCCGCCCACCCCGCGGCACCUCCCAGCUCCCACAUACCUCAGGGAUGAGCCUCCACAGUGUGACAGGCCUGGCUGACACGUCUUGCUAGCAGAUGUGGAUCUGCCUCCCACUGGGCCCCAAGGCUCUGGCUAAAUCUCAGCCCACCACCAUCCCCACCACCCCAGGCUCAGCCCCAGGCCCUGUGGGGCAGAGCUACGAUAAAGUCUGGGCACAGAAGCACAUUCAGGUCCUGUAGGUGACAGAGGGACAAGAGACAGGCUCAGGGAUCCAAAGCCCCAGCCAAGACCAGGCCAGGGUUCAAGAGGUCCAGUCAUCCCUCCUUGACAUCUGCAUUGGGGAGAUGAGAGGGAUGGGUGGAGAGUGGGGCCCAGACCCUGUCUUAAGUACACUUAGCUACAACCAAGGAUGGCCCCCUGGGAACAAGGCCCAGAACUGGCUGUUCUAACCUUCCAAGGGGAGCUUCCAGUUUCCAAAACAUCUGCAGGUUUCUGAAUGCUAACUCUAUUCCUGAAAGGCUUUCUGCAGGAGCGGAUGUGGCAAGCCCACCCAAGGCAGACUCUGUGCCUCAGCCAGGCCCAAGGUCACAAGCCUGCCUGACCUUGUCUCUUCCUGUCCCAACCUCCACACCUCUAAUCCACGUGGGUCCCUUGUUCUCCGUGUCCCUGGACUCCAUCUGCCUCUCAGAGCCUAGUGUCCGCUCUCACCAGCCCUCCUAAAGAGAUCUGUGUUGCCGUUUGUUGGUUCCCCUGCCUCAGAACCCUGUCCUCAGAUCCAACUUUGCACAGCAGUCUGGACGGCAGGGUCACAAGCUGAACUUUCCUUUGGCUUCCCUGGGAGCUGAACACUCUCCUAGACCCAAACCCUGGAACGAGGUUUGUGUGUAGGGAGCCUAAGCCGGAGCUCCAACCUUCGUGAGAAGUCCCGUGAUCUCCAUAAGCCUAGGUUUGCUCUGGGGACCCCCACACCCACCCUGGCCCUCAGCCGCUCCCAGCAGCAAUGGCUACAAACGGGACUAACAAAGUCUGUCUACUCCCAGCUAUACAGACCUGUACAGGGUCUCCCAGGCCUGCAAGCAAGGGACAAAAAGACUAAGCAAAGAACAGAGAAGCUGUGGACCCUCGGGAGAUCAGCCCACUUAGCCUCCUGUAGUCCCAAGCCUGUGACCCCUGAAAGAGGCUCAAGGAGCUAAAAGAAGUCACUCAAACCCCUGCAGGGCUCCAGCUGCACCACCCAUCCACCUGAGGACCCUCCAUAAUCACCCAUAGGACCUUGUGUCUGUCUAUCAUCUUUCCUCCUUCCUCAUCUGAGUCCUCCCUGUACCUGAACCAAGAGAUGAGUCACUGCACCCCGCCCUUGCAAAGUGCCAGUGUUGGGACCAGAACAAGGAGUUCACACCAAGUUCUGCUUCCGGGGGUUCCAAUGUGACCUCAGCCAACUCCCCAAGUCCCAGCCCCUGCUUUUGCCUCUGAGAAGUGGGCCUUGGGAUCCCAUGAUGCAGACCUACAAGGAGAGUGUGGAGACGCAUAAGGGACGCUCUGGCCACACGUAGAAGCUGUGGCUGACCCCUGGCUGAAGGGAAGCAGAGGCCCUGGGGCACAGAGCCUCCAUCAGUUGCUGGGGACCUGGAAGCCCGAUUAAUGCCUCCCUCCCAUUCCUGCCCAGCUUGAUGCAGCAUGAACUGGAAUUUCCCGAUAAUUCGCACUAAUUAACUGAUGCUACCGCCCGCCCCCCCCCCCACUCCUGGCUCUUUACUCGGCUCCCAGCGCCCCAGGGAGUCUCGAGGAGUCCGACUGGUUUGGGAGGCCUUGGGAGACUGAGCUGCCGCCUCCCACCCACCUGAAGCUUCCUCAGCGGCACGGGUGUCACUUCUAGGACCUCUGGCUAGUUGCCCACAGGCGAAGACAGGGCAACCAGACUCCUCAGCCCACACCUGAGACACGUGGACCCAGGACACGACAGGGACGCCUCGGGAUGCCCUCAGCCAUGCCACCUGCCCUCCAAGGCUUGAGGACAGUGGUCCUCACAUAGCCUGGAUCUCUUCUGCCCUGUGACUGUGGCUGAACCUCCCAGGGGCACAACCCUUCUUUCUCUGCUCAGUAUUUAUUAGGCACUUCCUGUGUGCCCAGCCCUGUACCAGGUGUGAGGACACAGAAACACAGGAGCAAGCUCUGGGCCCAGCUUACAGCCUGGUGGGAGGAGAAGUGUUGUGUAAAAGACUAAGGUCGUAGCAUGCAGAUGAGUUAGCAUCGCCAUGCCAACAAGAACGACACCGAGGCUCCACCUAUAGAAAGUUCCAGAGAAAUAAACCCCCUCCAUGGCAAUAUUGGGAAAGUGGAACGGAAGGAUACAGCCCGACUUUGGGGUAGAGGAUAUAUAUACCUGAAGCCCGAUGGAACUGGUGCGCUCAGGAGUGCUCAUAAAGGGUGCGACUCACCAUGGUGCACCCUGGAUUAUGUUCUGGAACUGUGUCUGCUAAACGUCCAUAAGGUUGCUAAAGAGAAAGGGGGGUAAACUGUGACUCAGGGUGAGACCCUGGGGUAGGUAGUCAGGGAGGCCUUCCCGGAGGAGGCAGCUGUUAAGUUGAAAAUGAGUGACUCAAAGAAAGAAGAAAAGAACCUGCUCUGGUUCCCGUGGCCUAAGUUCAAAUCCUCACAACUCUGAGUCACAGUGUGGCUUUGGGAGAAAGGCUCCUCUGUGACACAGAUCUCGCCGGAGCAUGUGCUCAUAGGGCCAUUUAAGCUGCAGGAGGUUGGUGGCCUGGCAUACAGCAGUCACACUGUCCACAAAGACCCUGAGGCAGGAGGACAGCACAGAGAGAGGCCAUGGUCCCAGCAGAGAACCAGCCAGUGUUGGUGCCCUGGAGUCCUAAGGGGUCAGGGUUGAGGUUUGUGGGCCUGAGGACUGAGCUCCAGAGUGCUCGAGACCAAGGGCAGAUGCAAAACCAGGGUUUCAACCUCCUAAGCCGUCCCUUGAACUGGCCACUCUCAUCGUUCCACCCCAGCUUUAACUGGUUAUGACUGGAGAAACUGAGACUUGAAAGAGAAGGAUUGGACCCAAACCCUGUGGAAUCGUGGAACCAGGAGAGAACGGUCCCCGCCCCACCCCCACCCCCGAGUUUCUGCAUUCACUCCUGUGGACUAACCAAGGGCCCUGAGCUGAGCCUUCUCUCACGCCCCUAAUGUGGGAGAAAUUCAUCAACCUCUUUGUUGGGCGGUCCGUGGGCCCGAACAGGAACCUCACCAACUGGACAACACGGAAACCAGAAGUUCCGACUGGGCCUCCCCGCCUCUGGGCCUCCCAGCCUCUGGGCCGUGGGGUUGCCAGCCCUUCUCCAGGCUGUGUCUCCCCACUCUUGAAGACAGGCUGUUCCCAGCCCUCCCCGACUCUCUCAGCCCUGCGAGGUGCUUGGCAGAGCUGCGGCAGGCCCGGGGUGCCCUGUCCCGCCCAUCAAUUCCCAUCUGGGGGGCCAAGGUCGACCUGGGGGCAGGCGGGCUGGGCCCUGUCUGGGGAUAAAGGCAGGCGCCCCAGGGUGCAGCCAGCUUAAUAACAGGCUCUGGGAUCCAGGGGUUUGAACUCAGGCUAAUAGGCUCAAACACAAAUUGAACAGCCCACGGUUCCAUCAGCGCCUCUGACAGCCAGCUCUUCCCACACUAGUGCUCCUCUCUGGCCUCUCCCACCCGCCUCACCGCUGGAGCCCCCUCUGUGUGCCCAGCAUGCAGACCCCCCCUACGGUACUGGGAACAACCUCCCCGUCCUGCCCUGGUCCUGUGUGCCUCAAUCUCUCCUCUUGCUCCUCUGCCUCGGCACUCCUCCAUCAGCCAGGCUGUGGCCUGCCCCAGGGCCUUUGCACUGACUGUGCCUCCUGCCCGGAGCUCUGUUCACCUGUUCUGGCCACAGCUGCUCCUCGGUGAGACCCUUGGCCCCACCCUGUAGCGCCUACAACCCUGCUUCAUUUCUCCAUCCCUGUCACGGUCCUGUUGGGGUCUACAUCUGGGUAGGUUUUGUUUUUUGAGUCAGGGUUUCUCUGUGUAGCUCUAGCUGUUCUGGAACUCACUCUGUAGACCAAGGAGAUCUCAAACCAAUAAAGAGCCGCUUGCCUCAGGCUGGCCUCCAACUCAGA